rnacentral:tRNA from 1 species
GCCGUAUAAGCUCCGUAAGUAGCAUUGGUCUUGUAAAUCAAAGGUGGAAGUCAAUCCCUGACUCCGUACGGUA